rnacentral:rRNA from 1 species
GAUGAACGCUGGCGGCGUGCCUAAUACAUGCAAGUAGAACGCUGAAGCUUGGUGCUUGCACCGAGCGGAUGAGUUGCGAACGGGUGAGUAACGCGUAGGUAACCUGCCUCUUAGCGGGGGAUAACUAUUGGAAACGAUAGCUAAUACCGCAUAAAGGUCGACAUUGCAUGAUGUUGACUUGAAAGGUGCAAUUGCAUCACUAAGAGAUGGACCUGCGUUGUAUUAGCUAGUUGGUGAGGUAACGGCUCACCAAGGCAACGAUACAUAGCCGACCUGAGAGGGUGAUCGGCCACACUGGGACUGAGACACGGCCCAGACUCCUACGGGAGGCAGCAGUAGGGAAUCUUCGGCAAUGGGGGCAACCCUGACCGAGCAACGCCGCGUGAGUGAAGAAGGUUUUCGGAUCGUAAAGCUCUGUUGUAAGAGAAGAACGAGUGUGAGAGUGGAAAGUUCACACUGUGACGGUAACUUACCAGAAAGGGACGGCUAACUACGUGCCAGCAGCCGCGGUAAUACGUAGGUCCCGAGCGUUAUCCGGAUUUAUUGGGCGUAAAGCGAGCGCAGGCGGUUUAGAUAAGUCUGAAGUUAAAGGCUGUGGCUUAACCAUAGUACGCUUUGGAAACUGUUUAACUUGAGUGCAGAAGGGGAGAGUGGAAUUCCAUGUGUAGCGGUGAAAUGCGUAGAUAUAUGGAGGAACACCGGUGGCGAAAGCGG